AGUGAAGACUGCAAGCUGGAGGUGACGAUCCAAAAACUAAAGCUACUUGACUGCCUCCAAGAUCAUGCUGCUGGCCAGGGGACUGCAGAUAGCCACGACAGAUGUCCAGAGGAGGGCAACAACACAGGCAGCAAAAGACAUGGUCAACACUUUAAGCAUGUCAGUUCGAUGGCGCAGAAUGGAUGCCAACCACACCCUUGCAGAUGCUGCUGCGCUUGACCCAAGAUUUAAAAGGAUGGCAUUCACGGAUGGCAGAGCUGCAGACGAUGCUUUCCAGAGAAUAUCAACUUCAGCAGCAAGACUCGCUCUGAGCAGCAGCGAACCCAUCCAGCAACCGAUCCAAGGGGAAGGUGCAGACAGUGCUGCAUCAGUUGCUUGGAGCUAUUUCCAUGAGCAGCAGGUAGCUGGAACAGUGCCAACUGGAAGCAGGAAUCCCACAGCAGAAGCCAUCAUGGAGGUGCAGGCUUACCAAGAGGAGCCUCUUCUUCCAAAAAACGUGGAUCCUGGUGGAAAAGUCGAGCCUCGCUACGACUACCCCAGGCAUAGCAAGCUCAUGGC
ensembl:lncRNA